rnacentral:misc_RNA from 1 species
AACCAAUAACUUGAAAAAAAAAAAAAGAAAAAGAAAGGAAAAGAAAACUUCUUCAAGCUUUGCAUGAGUAAUUAUUAGAAAAAAGAAAUGCACAAAUAUGCAAGCUUGAAGAUUGAGACAGUUUAAUUUUACAUAUAUAAAGCAAUGACGAUUGUGCUGACUAGCAACAACAAAAGCAGCUCAAAUAUGUGAAUCUUAAUAUAAUUGUUACAAAGAGUUCAUCAAGUUCAGUUUUUACUUGGGGAGAUUUCAUUCGUCCCAAGUUUUUUAGUUCAAUAUUAAUCAGUAUAAACAGUCCAGUGCCUUUUUUAUUUCAUUUUCAUUGACCAGCCGGGUUAAAUAACCCAUUUCCAAUUCAAUUAUUAACUACUUUGUCAACUUAAAGCUAUGACAUAUUUCCCCAAAAAAUCUCCGAGUUUCCUAUCCUAAAUUCUUCACAUCCUCAGCAAAUAAAAGAACUUUUUCAACACCUAAAACCCAUCUAUAUGCCACAAACUUAAACAGGCACACAAAGAGAGACAAAAUAACUGUGAGUUACUUCUAUAGCGUUCUUCCAAAGCACAAAAGGAAUCCAAAACCCUGAAUUGGGUACCAGAGGAUCCAAUAGAACUUGCAAACAACACGUUAAUCACAGAAAAUCCCCGCAUACAAGGAAUUCUCAGUAAAGCAACACACAUCCAUAAGAAAAUUUAAAGAAUCUUGAAUUGUACAACAAACGAUCGAAAAAAAAUCAGCAGCAAUCCACAUAUAGGCAUCAAAUUUAGGCACUUCACAAAAUAAACAAAGAAAAGAACCCAGAAUUUUUUAAUUGACAUUAAAAAUGAGGAUCAAACCUGGGCUUUAGUGGCGUUAUAAUGACCCAACAACCUCGUCUUUAAUUCCUCAACGAAAGGUGUAACAGAGGGGUCCUUGGAAUUCAGCAAAAGAACUUCCUGGGCA